rnacentral:lncRNA from 1 species
GCAAGUACUUUUGUCUUUUCUGCAAGAAUCAGCCAGCUUAGUAUUUCACAUCUCGGUUUCCGUUUUGCCCUUGAAUGUAUGAGGCUGUUCCUAAGAGAAAGUUUUAAAAACUGAAUACAGACCAGUAAGCCAAAAUACUGCUCCAAGACCUUUUCCUCAGCUGGCUCAGACUACAUACCGGUGACCUGCUUUGCACUUGAAAAGGUUGCUGAAAUUUUACCCAUUUUUACGUAACUGACUAGUGACUGACAUAAUCAGUCUAUCUUGCUAAGUUCACACAAAUUCCCCAGGGCUUACUGUAUACUCUUAAUACCAAAUGGCUGCCUCCUCACGUGGUUCUUAUGUCAGUCAGACUUGGUAAGAUCUGGGGACUUGGGGCGGCCUGAGGCCCCUCCACCCCAGUGUCUCUCUCAGUGGAGAGCAGGAGAGCUUCUGAGAGUGAGAAGACAGUCUUGAGCUUGAGGUCUUGUAAGUUUGAGGUUCCCAUUUUCUACUGCAGGGGAGUCUGGGUGAUACAAGCCUUAGCCUGCGGAAGUGCCUCUGAACACUGGAGUAUGUAUAAACACACCUUCAAAAUGCAAAGGAGCGGUCUGUAGUGACGCUGUAAAGUGCAGAGUCACAGUCAGCCUCACUGUGAGAAGCAGAUGCACACAGGCCUAGACCUGCAUCCCUGACUUAGCACCUGCCCAAUGGCUUCCUUUCUCCUGCCUUCAGGCAUUCUAAGAACAUUAGUGACAAUGUCUUUUGUUAAGAAUAAAAGCUGUGAAAAGGGAUUUCUGCAUACCUGACAGGAUGAGGAGCUGUACUUUCUAGGGAGUUAAAUAUGGCCACCUCAAUGGUGUCCUGGUUUGUCAAAGGGACUAGUUUAGGUUAACUCCAGUUUUAAGGUGAAGUUUUGGUUCAGGGCCUGAGUAGUGUUUCAUACUUUUGGUAGACAAGCAUAGUCUAAUGGGAACUUUGAAAGGAAAGGGUUAACUCAGCCUACUAAAUUGUUAGGUUCUCCUGGGAACUCUGAAAGGAUACUGGAAAGGGAUAACUCAGCCUACUGAAUUGUUAGGUUCUCCUUCUAAGGAGGCCUGCCUUAGUGGCGUUGAGGCUAGCCUGGGCUAUGUAGUAAGUUCUGGAAGCGCCUUGUCUACAGAGGAUAUUCUUAUCUCAAAAACCAAAAACAACUAUCAAUGCCUGCCUGCCUUUUCCAUUACAAUGAUCUUCCCUCUAUCAUAUUUUCCCCUACGUCUGUUUAUUUAGUAGGAAUGGGUUCUCUUUGCUAGUGGCUCACUCCAAACCUCACACCGCAAAUCUUUCCUAAAAUUUGUUCUAUUUUGUUGGUUUAGUCUGAUUUCAAAGGACUGACCAUAUUUUGUUAGCUGGGACCGAUUGUUUUGUUAGAUCAAGCACAUCAUAGACCAUCAGAAGUAAUGCACCUUUGUGGUACCUAAUACAUUUUAGAACAGAAAAUUCUUUGUGCUGGGAUUUUGUAUCGAACAAUUCUUGAAAAAUUAAUUCUUCGUUUUGGAGUCAGCAGUAAGAAUGUUCUCCAAGAACCACACCACAGCACUCAGCUACACAGGAACUGUGUCUCAGAGAAAACAGCUGUCAUGGUGGUGAGGUCAGGCUAGGCCUGUUAUGGGCUCAUGACUGGCUAGGAGUGGUUUCCUGCUGUUUGUAAUUAGUCAAAUCGAGGCCUGCUGGUUUUAGUUUUCCAUCUACUAUUCCAUACUAGUUUUCGUUGUUGUUAGUUUUAUUUUUUGACAUGGGGUCCAUGUCAGCCAGUCUGACUGAACUCACAAUCUUUCUGCCUGUACAUAUCAAGUGCUGGGAUUACUGGAGUGUCACUGUACCCAGACAUUCACAUUCUUUAUCAUCUAAUAAUUUGGGGAUUUUUUGGUGUUAGGAUUCUGCCAAAUUUAGUUCAUCUUUACCUUACUAUUACAAAUAUGCCAGAGGAGAUGUUUCAUUACAUUAAACGUAGUUUUCUUAGGUACAGAUAUGGAUAUGCUGGCCCAUGAAGUGAAUUGAGUAAUAUUAAUCAAAUCCCAGCUUUCCAGUGCCACUACUGGUCUUAGAUUAUUUAGAAAUUGUUGUUUGGAAGCUGAAGAGAAGGCUCAAAGAGUAUUUGCUACUCUUCCAGAGGACUCAAGUGCCCCGUGCCACCUGUGCCCAGCACCCACACUGGGCAGAUCACAACACUCUAUGAUUCUAGUUCCAGGGGAUCCAGUGCCCUCUCUUAGCCUCCAAGGGCACUUAUAGUCAGAUUCAAAUACCCACACAAACACACACAUAGUUUAAAGGAAGAAAAAAGUGAUUAUACUGGAGUGCUGCCCUAAACUUAAAAGUCCUUUCAAAACUCUUCAGUCACUGUGAACUUAAUCACUAUUAUCAUUAUGAUCUAAAAGCUCUCAGAAUUGUACAUUAGAGAAAGAAACAGCCACAGUCAUAGUUGCCAUCGUCCUGACUCUCUCUUCUUUGUAUGGGAAGGAGGUUGGGGGGAAAGGCAAUAACUCCUGGCCCUACCAGUGCGAUUAUAAAAUAGCUAUCACUUUGAUAUGCUCUGCUUGUUCUUUCUGGAUUCAGAAAGGAGUGUGUUUUUCAUGUACCUGUGCACACUGCGUCUACUUGAGAAGUGGUGUGCAUAUGCCUCAGUGAAUACUCUGAGCACGCUGUGAGGAAUUACUGCUGCAUUGCCAAGGUAUAAGGCUAACUAACGUCCAUGCUCUGUGUGUGAAGUUAGGAUCGUGUGUUAAAACAGGGCUCUCUCGCCACCUUGGUCCAUUGCUUUUUACCUCCCAGCCCAGGUCCCAUGUCACCUAGUGCAGCAGUCCUGUGUUACACUUACCUGGAGAUUCCUGUUUAUGAUAUGUGAUAAUGGAGUCAUGAGUCCACACUUACUCUACUUAACUGCUGUAACUACUGGGAGGAAAGAAUCCCUCAAGAAAGUAGACGUGGACAGCAUCCGCAAGCACCAUCUGUGGCCACGCCCUCACCCUGGUUAUUGGGAAGCUUUCUGCACAUCCAACUGACUUACUUUUUUUCACAUUUAUACUUUCUUCCCCAUUGUUUGGACUUUGCAGAAAAGCUGCUGCUUGUACUUAAGGUUUUCUUAAACUUUGCUGUACAAAUGAUAUCAUCAGGGAAGUCCUGUGGUUGAAAGGCAGAAUCUAUUUGCUAGAUCUGGAGAGUGGCCAGGCAGACUGAUCUAACAGAAUCAUGAGUGUGUGUGCUGCUGCUGUUGUGACCACCCCUCUGAGUACUAGACUAAGUAGAGGACCUUCAGCAUCUCUUUUAGGUUUAGCUAGUGAGAUGACUACAGUUGACCUCUCCCCAGAGCUCAGCUCUUAGACCUUCAAGCUAGUGUUGCUCUGGUUUAGAGCCAAUUCUAAGUCUAAGAUUCCUUACCAAGUAAACAGCUAAAAGGCAAUACCCCUGGGUGUGGUCGAUCACAGCUGUGAUCCCAACAUUUGAGAGGCUAAGGCAGGGGGAUUUUCAUGAGUUCCAGCCCAGUCUUGGCUGCAUAGCAAGGCUCUGUGUAGACAAAGAACUAGAGGAAAUAGAAAUAAUUUGGGUAUGAUGAUACUGCUGUGUAAUCCCAGCACUUGAGAAGCGGAAGCUUCAAGCAGUAGACGUUCAAGGCCACUGUUGGCAACAUAGUAAGUUUGUAUCCGGCCUGAAUACAUAAGACUUUGUGUGGAAAAAAAAAUGG